rnacentral:lncRNA from 1 species
CAGAGCACCUGGAGCAACCCCACCUGCCCAUAUGAGCGGCCUCAGGCCCUGUGGCUCCGUUAUUUAUUCCAUGGAUUGAUUAUUUAAUUGGUGGGGGCUGCUCUGGACAGAGGAUUCGCCUGGCCCAGGUGAGAGUCCUUCUCUCACCUGGUUGGGGUCACCAGGACUCACCUGAGCUGCAGCCUCUGGGAUCCCUCCUGCUCUCCAUCCCACCUGGCAGAGCUCACCUGUGCCAGGACUCACCUGAGCUGGAGCCUCCUGGAUCCCACAGCAGCUCUGGCCCCCUGGCUGCCUCCACUUUCCUUGUUUUUAAGGGAAAAUCAGUUUUUCCCUAAUUGCUGUUUGUUUAAUGAAUGUUUCACCUGGGCCACCUCGUGCAGGUGAUGCUCCCACUCACCUGCAGCUGGGAAACACCUGGAACUGGCACAAGAGACUCAAGGCUGGAGUCCCCGACCUCACCUGGAGAUUCUGGGGGUUGAACCAACUUCACCUCCUCGUUGGCUCCUCCAUCACCUGGAACUGCUCGCCUGUACCUGUGGGAACCUUCUGGAACGUUCAUUCCGUGCUGGGAGGUGCCUCCAGCAGCUGCUGAGGGGUUGGAGCUGCCCCUGCAGGGACCACAUUUGGGAUGUGAGGGUGCAGGAGUGUCCCUGUCCCUACCUGUGGUCCUGGCCUGCUGCAGGUGGGCUCUGGGUGUCCAGGUGCUCCUGCAGAGCCCUGCAGGUGUGCCCAGGUGUGCAUCUCCUGCAGGGGUGCCCAGGUGUGCCCAGGUGUGCAGCUCCUGCUGUUCCUGAAUUCCCAGAGCACCUGCAGCUCCCUCCUCAGCUGCUCCGGCUCACCUGUGCUCCCUCUGGCUCCGGGCAUCUCCCCUGGCAUCAGACUGGUCAGACUGGGAUGGAUUCAGGUUCUCCAGGUGUGGAUUCCCCAGCCUCACCUGGUGCUUCCAGCCCUUCCUUGGCUGGGAUUCACGGGACACCCACCUGUGCUCCAGACCUUCCUGGGCUCUGUCUUGGGGUGAAACCUCUCAUUUCUGGGGCUUUUCCCUCUUUUUUGCCUUCAGCCAAGUGAGAUCAGCCCAGGGAGGGGCAGGAGAGGGGAAUUUGGGAUUGGGGUGGGGCUGCCUGCUCUGCUGGCUCUGACCUGGGGAUUGGCUCACCUGGACACUCCUGGAUUCUGGGAUCUGCUCACCUGCUUGGGACUGUGCCCCAAAACUGCAUUGUGUUCACCUGGACCCUGCAGCCUGCGGGAUCUGCUCACCUGGAUCUGUGUCCCUGAUCUGCUCA